rnacentral:rRNA from 1 species
AGGACGAACGCUGGCGGCGUGCUUAACACAUGCAAGUCGAGCGGUAAGGCCUUUCGGGGUACACGAGCGGCGAACGGGUGAGUAACACGUGGGUGAUCUGCCCUGCACUCUGGGAUAAGCCUGGGAAACUGGGUCUAAUACCGGAUAUGACCUGCUCUCGCAUGGGGGUGGGUGGAAAGAUUUAUCGGUGCAGGAUGGGCCCGCGGCCUAUCAGCUUGGUUGGUGGGGUAAUGGCCUACCAAGGCGACGACGGGUAGCCGACCUGAGAGGUGACCGGCCACACUGGGACUGAGACACGGCCCAGACGUCCGUACGGGAGGCAGCGAAGGUGGGGAAUAAGUUGCAACGAAAGUGGGACGAAAGCCUGAUGACAGCGACGCCGCGUAGAGGAUGGAAGGUCCUUACGGGUUA